CAACCUGCCCAUCACUUGGGGAUAACCUUGCGAAAGUAAGACUAAUACCCAAUGAUAUCUCUAGAAGGCAUCUGAAGGAGAUUAAAGAUUUAUCGGUGAUGGAUGGGGAUGCGUCUGAUUAGCUUGUUGGCGGGGUAACGGCCCACCAAGGCGACGAUCAGUAGGGGUUCUGAGAGGAAGGUCCCCCACAUUGGAACUGAGACACGGUCCAAACUCCUACGGGAGGCAGCAGUGAGGAAUAUUGGUCAAUGGGCGAGAGCCUGAACCAGCCAAGUAGCGUGCAGGAAGACGGCCCUAUGGGUUGUAAACUGCUUUUAUAAGGGAAUAAAGUGAGUCUCGUGAGACUUUUUGCAUGUACCUUAUGAAUAAGGACCGGCUAAUUCCGUGCCAGCAGCCGCGGUAAUACGGAAGGUCCGGGCGUUAUCCGGAUUUAUUGGGUUUAAAGGGAGCGUAGGCCGGAGAUUAAGCGUGUUGUGAAAUGUAGAUGCUCAACAUCUGCACUGUAGCGCGAACUGGUUUCCUUGAGUACGCACAAAGUGGGCGGAAUUCGUGGUGUAGCGGUGAAAUGCUUAGAUAUCACGAAGAACUCCGAUUG
rnacentral:rRNA from 1 species